rnacentral:misc_RNA from 1 species
AAAACCCGACGGCCUCGGCCGUCCCUAGGCGCGGGCCGGCCCUAAAAAAGCCCCCCGCGCCCAAGGUUCCACCCUUUGUGAAAACCCCCAACCUUGCCUCGGCGGCACCGAUGCCCCCCAAUUUGGGGGGCGGAGGGUCAGCCCGCCGGCGGCACCCAACGAAACCCUUUUUCUUGAAAAGAAGUAUUUUGUCUGAAUCAAUGGUCGAAUGACUAUAAAACUUUCAACAACGGAUCUCUUGGUUCC